rnacentral:rRNA from 1 species
UAGGGAAUCUUCGGCAAUUGACGAAAGUCUGACCGAGCAACGCCGCGCGAGUGAAGAAGGUUUUCGGAUCGUAAAACUCUGUUGUUAGAGAAGAACAAGGACGUUAGUAACUGAACGUCCCCUGACGGUAUCUAACCAGAAAGCCACGGCUAACUACGUGCCAGCAGCCGCGGUAAUACGUAGGUGGCAAGCGUUGUCCGGAUUUAUUGGGCGUAAAGCGAGCGCAGGCGGUUUCUUAAGUCUGAUGUGAAAGCCCCCGGCUCAACCGGGGAGGGUCAUUGGAAACUGGGAGACUUGAGUGCAGAAGAGGAGAGUGGAAUUCCAUGUGUAGCGGUGAAAUGCGUAGAUAUAUGGAGGAACACCAGUGGCGAAGGCGGCUCUCUGGUCUGUAACUGACGCUGAGGCUCGAAAGCGUGGGGAGCAAACAGG